GGAUGAACGCUAGCGACAUGCUUAACACAUGCAAGUCGAGGGGCAGCGGGGGUAGCGAUACCCGCCGGCGACCGGCGCACGGGUGAGUAACGCGUAUGCAACUUGCCUAUCAGAGGGGGAUAACCCGGCGAAAGUCGGACUAAUACCGCAUGAAGCAGGGGCCCCGCAUGGGGAUAUUUGCUAAAGAUUCAUCGCUGAUAGAUAGGCAUGCGUUCCAUUAGGCAGUUGGCGGGGUAACGGCCCACCAAACCGACGAUGGAUAGGGGUUCUGAGAGGAAGGUCCCCCACAUUGGUACUGAGACACGGACCAAACUCCUACGGGAGGCAGCAGUGAGGAAUAUUGGUCAAUGGCCGAGAGGCUGAACCAGCCAAGUCGCGUGAGGGAUGAAGGUUCUAUGGAUCGUAAACCUCUUUUAUAAGGGAAUAAAGUGCGGGACGUGUCCCGUUUUGUAUGUACCUUAUGAAUAAGGAUCGGCUAACUCCGUGCCAGCAGCCGCGGUAAUACGGAGGAUCCGAGCGUUAUCCGGAUUUAUUGGGUUUAAAGGGUGCGUAGGCGGCCUUUUAAGUCAGCGGUGAAAGUCUGUGGCUCAACCAUAGAAUUGCCGUUGAAACUGGGGGGCUUGAGUAUGUUUGAGACAGGCGGAAUGCGUGGUGUAGCGGUGAAAUGCAUAGAUAUCACGCAGAACCCCGAUUGCGAAGGCAGCCUGCCAAGCCCUUACUGACGCUGACGCACGAAAGCGUGGGGAUCAAACAGGAUUAGAUACCCUGGUAGUCCACGCAGUAAACGAUGAUCACUAGCUGUUUGCGAUACACUGUAAGCGGCACAGCGAAAGCGUUAAGUGAUCCACCUGGGGAGUACGCCGGCAACGGUGAAACUCAAAGGAAUUGACGGGGGCCCGCACAAGCGGAGGAACAUGUGGUUUAAUUCGAUGAUACGCGAGGAACCUUACCCGGGUUUGAACGCAUUCGGACCGAGGUGGAAACACCUUUUCUAGCAAUAGCCGUUUGCGAGGUGCUGCAUGGUUGUCGUCAGCUCGUGCCGUGAGGUGUCGGCUUAAGUGCCAUAACGAGCGCAACCCUUGCCACUAGUUACUAACAGGUAAAGCUGAGGACUCUGGUGGGACUGCCAGCGUAAGCUGCGAGGAAGGCGGGGAUGACGUCAAAUCAGCACGGCCCUUACAUCCGGGGCGACACACGUGUUACAAUGGCGUGGACAAGGGGAGGCCACCUGGCGACAGGGAGCGAAUCCCCAAACCACGUCUCAGUUCGGAUCGGAGUCUGCAACCCGACUCCGUGAAGCUGGAUUCGCUAGUAAUCGCGCAUCAGCCAUGGCGCGGUGAAUACGUUCCCGGGCCUUGUACACACCGCCCGUCAAGCCAUGGGAGCCGGGGGUACCUGAAGUCCGUAACCGAAAGGAUCGGCCUAGGGUAAAACUGGUG
rnacentral:rRNA from 1 species